UGCAGUACUGUUUCAAAACGGAGGGGUGGCCGAGUGGCUUAAGGCAGCGGUCUUGAAAACCGCCGAUGGGAAACCAUCCGAGAGUUCG
rnacentral:tRNA from 1 species